rnacentral:lncRNA from 13 species
UCUGAUUAUACUGAUUAUGGUAACAAUCCACAAAUACUGUGACUGAUGCCAAAAGCAGGUAAUGCCCAGGCCUACAAUUUAUGGAUAAGUCCCUUAUGUAGUGAAGUCCCACUGUCAUAUGCGCAGGUAUUUUUAUUUUUGUCACAUAGCCUAGUCACAAACCCGAUAGAGGCCCCCAACUAGGUUCAGAUUAAUGUUGAUCAUCAACAAUAUGCAUAUUUAUGCUAAUAAUAGAAAAAAAUAACAAUCUACAUCAUCAUCACACAUACGCACACACACACUGUUUACUUUAUUUUAUCAUAAAGUGUUGUGUAAUUUGCUGCGUCUUUCAGUGCUGUGAGGCAAGGUGCGGGAAAACGAAGCGGUAAUAACGUCCCCAGGGAGGGGACAGCCGUUGAAGGGCGAGGCCCUCGGGAAUUGUCGCUCAUCCAGGAUACGAUCAGGACAACUCAUUUGGGGUCGGGGGAGAUCUGGCCGCGGACCACCUGCAGUACCUCCACGGACCCCCAGGGGUCUGCAGACCCCAGUUUGAGAACUCCUGCACGAGAAGACAAUCCCCCGAUGCCCUCACGACCAAACAAGGGCUGGACUGGGGCAGGUUCACACAGAGGCUUCUCGCUGAUCCCGUUAAAAGCAAUUAGCAGUGUGUUGACUCAGUUGUAAAAGCCACAGUGUUCCCCUCCCCAAGGGUCCCUCCCCAGCCUCUCUCAGAACCAGGUGUACACAAACAGCCCUCUCUCAAACACAUGGAUGAGCUGGUGGUCUCAGCAGGGGGGAAACUUCCAUCAUCAGGUGAUAACAGGAACAGCAACUGACUGUUGAAUUUACACUACACUCUUAGAAAAAGGGUUCCAAACGGGUUCUUCGGCUGUCCCCAUAGGAGAACCCUUUUUGGUUCCAAGUAGAACUCUUUUGGAUUCCAUGUAGAACCCUCUAUAGAAAGGGGUUUACAUGGAACCCAAUAGGGUUCUUCAAAGUGGUCUCCUAUGGGGACAGCUGGAGAACCAUUUUAGGUUCUAGAUAGCACUUUUUUUUCUGAGGGUGUAGAUCUGUUGAAACUUGUAGGUUCAAUCUCAACGUUGUCAAGUGUAACUGAUGCUAUUAAAUGGGCAAAUCCAUUGUGAAUGGAUACAUCUUAAACUGGUACAGGGAAGCAUCUAAAACCGAUUUGGAGAACAUCUUAUCACUGAACUGUAACAUAACACCCCACACAGAAUAUGAAGACUGGUGCCAUUGAUAGUAUAUUCAAUGAAUUCCAUAUAUUCAAUAUUAUUCAUAUCCUUCAAUUAACCUUUCCAUCUCCUAACCCUAUGCAUCCUAGCCCUGCUGCUGCCUAAUCCCUGAGCCAGGCAUCGUGAGUGGGCUGAAACCCUCAUCCCAGCCAUCCAUUCACAGAUAGAGCCAGGUGAGUAAAUGAGCAAAUAGUGGACACAAUACCAGUCAACCCGAUCAUCCACUCUCGUCUCACUCUGAGAAGCCAGGCAUUGUUUUGGCCCUGGCUCUGGAUGUGAGCGAUCUACCUGAGCUAGUCCCCCUGCUGCCCCCACCCCCCACCCCACCCCCUGCCCCCUAUCCCUCACCCUGGUGGUUCAUUUAUCUGCAGAGUCUCCCACUGGCUAUCUGGAGCUAUGGACCCACCCCUCACAGAGGGGAUAACACAAGGGAGGGCUAGGCUCACUCAGACCACUCAGACCUCACUCACUCUUAGAAGCCGGCCGACUACAAACUAUUAUAGAGACGUUUUUCAUCUUGGAAAGGUGUCUGAGAACACCUGGCUUCACGUACUGUAUUGAGGGAGUGAGAGGAAGCUUCUCCUUAUGGCAGAUGGGUAUUUUUGGCUUGCUGGCUUGUUUUACAUGCAGCGCCUCGAAAAGAGUCAUAAAGAUCUUAUCUAGGCCAAAGAGAAAAUGUGCGCUCAUUGAAAUAUAGAAUUAAAAUAUGCUUCAAUGUGAAUCACAUGCCAAUAUUGUAUGAACGGUCAUUUAGUGUAUAUUUUGUACGUUUGCACAUUGUUUACUGUAGAGUUACAUAAAAUGUUGAUGUACAUCCCUAAAUGGCACAAUGAUAUCUUAGAUACAAAUGUCCAGCGGACAUUGUAUUGCUGAUUAAAUGUGUACUAUUCUAUUACUAUCUCUAUGACUAUUCUAGUAUCAGAUGUUAUCAAGCACUGUCUAUAUCCAUUCAAUAAUCUAUCCACUUGUGCCUGACAAUCUCUGUCAUUGUGGAAAUGAUUAGUUAACCCACUGCUGUUUCUUUACGUUUAUCCCUGGGGAUCUGUUCGCACACUGUCUCGGGCUGUCUCCCCAACCAGUGGUCGCCCCAUCCCCAGCCCCAUGGCCCUGCUGCCCACCCACCAUAUUGAGCAAACAGGACGAGCAAACAGCGGGGAGUGCCUCAGAUAGGUCCCCCCUGCCUCCGCCCAGAACCCGGGCCGUGAGCAAACACUCCAGCCUGCAGAACAAAGGAGGAUGAAUAAUCGGAGGGAAAUGUCAACGUUUCAUCGUGGCUGCCCUGGCCCGGUGAGUUAUCCAUUAACCACAGGCCGAGUGCUCUAUCGCAGGGACGCCUGAAUGUAUCCGCAACAAUAGAGAGAGAGAGAGAGAGAGAGAGAGAGAGAGAGAGAGAGAGAGAGAGAGAGAGAGAGAGAGAGAGAGAGAG